rnacentral:rRNA from 1 species
AAUAUUGGACAAUGGGGGCAACCCUGAUCCAGCCAUGCCGCGUGUGUGAAGAAGGUCUUCGGAUUGUAAAGCACUUUAAGUUGGGAGGAAGGGCAGUAAGUUAAUACCUUGCUGUUUUGACGUUACCGACAGAAUAAGCACCGGCUAACUUCGUGCCAGCAGCCGCGGUAAUACGAAGGGUGCAAGCGUUCAUCGGAAUUACUGGGCGUAAAGGCGGGGGAGGUUGUUCAGGUAGGUGGGGUGGGAAUCCCCGGGGUUAACCUGGGGACUGCUUUCAAAACCGGUGAGCUAGGAGACGGGAGAAGGUAGUGGGAUUUCCUGUGGAGCGGGGGAAAGCGUAAGAAUAAGGAGGAACACCAGGGGCGAAGGCGAAUACCCGGAAUGAUUCUGACCCUGGGGUGCGAAAGGGUGGGGAGCAAAC